GGUAACAGGGAGCUUGCUCCGCUGACGACCGGCGCACGGGUGCGUAACGCGUAUACAAUCUACCUUUUGCUGUGGGAUAGCCUUUGGAAACGAAGAUUAAUACCGCAUAGUAUACAGAGUUCUCAUGAACAUUGUAUUAAAGGUUACGGCAAAAGAUGAGUAUGCGUCCUAUUAGCUAGAUGGUAAGGUAACGGCUUACCAUGGCUACGAUAGGUAGGGGCCCUGAGAGGGGGAUCCCCCACACUGGUACUGAGACACGGACCAGACUCCUACGGGAGGCAGCAGUGAGGAAUAUUGGACAAUGGAGGCAACUCUGAUCCAGCCAUGCCGCGUGCAGGAAGACUGCCCUAUGGGUUGUAAACUGCUUUUAUACAGGAAGAAACACUCCCUCGUGAGGGAGCUUGACGGUACUGUAAGAAUAAGGAUCGGCUAACUCCGUGCCAGCAGCCGCGGUAAUACGGAGGAUCCAAGCGUUAUCCGGAAUCAUUGGGUUUAAAGGGUCCGUAGGUGGAUAAUUAAGUCAGAGGUGAAAGUCUGCAGCUCAACUGUAGAAUUGCCUUUGAUACUGGUUAUCUUGAAUUAUUGUGAAGUAGUUAGAAUAUGUAGUGUAGCGGUGAAAUGCAUAGAUAUUACAUAGAAUACCA
rnacentral:rRNA from 1 species